UAGAGCAGUGGGACAGACAUCAAUAACGAUUGAUAUUUGACACUAAUUAUCUGUAAGGCAUAAUUAAGGCUUGACUCUUCGUCUGGAUGAGUGUGAUUUUCACACUGAAUCAUUCAAUUCGAAAGGGGUUUACAGAGUUCCAACAAAAUUCGAAACACCAUGAAUAUUACCAGGAAUAUGAAACACAAAGCAACAAAAAUGCAUUUAGAAGAAGAUUCUUCAAAGUUAUUUUGCCCUCAAUCACUUCCCUUCACAAACUGCCACUGAGGUUUACUAUCCGCCUAAUGGUAAGCGUAAGUUUCAAGGAACAAAUACACGGAAGAAUUCUAUCUCUGAUGACUCUGUAAAAAGUUUAGAUCCCUUCACUGGUAAACCAUUGAUUCCCCCUAGAAGAAAAGAAGAAGAAAACAAGAGAUUUGGAAGCUAGGUGGUUAUGGCUUUGGCGUCCAAAAAAUUAGUAUUCCAUUCUUCCUCAUCAUCAUCUGCUUCUGAGGGCUCCCAAAAAAUUAAUAUAAUGGAUGAAGAUGUUGCUAUUUCUGAAGAACAAAAACACUUAGAAGAAGCAUUGGUGAAAACACAAGAACGGGAAGAUGAUUCUACGUGUGUUCCCAUUUCAAAAGCUCAAGAAAUUGCACUGUUUGAUGAGAAUCAGACCACCACAGAAGCUGGAGAAAAAGAGGGCCAUGAACCAGCGUUGGACAAAUUAACGGCCUUGCGAAUUCACAAUCAAGCGGACC